UAGUGGUGGCAAAAGAGGAGUUUGGCGCCGGCCCAAUAUCAAGGUCCAUAGCUGGCCUAGUUCACUGCAAGGGGGUGCGUUGAGUGUUGUAGGUGUGGAUAGCAAUGAUCCAAUAUGCCUAGGGUGUGGAUGAAGCCCAAACGAGGGAUUCGGGAGGGGGGUUCAACACACCAAUUCACUUCUCACAUGCUCAACAUUCAUCACGUCCCCUUCCUCUUCUCAUUUUCUCAAAUAUGCCUCGCCAGUGACUAACAACUUCGCUGCGCCGGAGCUCAUCGUCGGCGACGACCGAGCACGAAACCACACAGCCCUAUCUGAUAUGAACUGUCUCCCCCUGCUAUAUCCAUAUCCUCCAUCAAAUUUAUCAAAUAACUCAACGUAGACAUGAAUCGAAGUCAAGACCACGUAAACCCUAAGCUACCAAAAAUGAAAUUAAGUGAUGUUCAAGCGUAACAAGAAGACCAAACCAUGGGGGUUUGGCUCCUGAGUCAGACAUCUACAUCACAACAACUUCAGAUUGGAAGAAAAAGGAAGAAAAGGUACCUACCAGAGCAGCUCUGGUGACAUUCACCGACGAGAAGAAGAUCAAAAUCUGGUAACAUUCCUUGAAUCUCUUUCUCAUUAUUCUUCUUACUGCUUCUGAAUUAUUGUGCAUGUUGUGCUUGCUGAUUCCAUGUGUGAGUGUGAGAUUAAGAGUUGAAUGCCUGAGGUUGCAAGCUGAGUAUGGAGGAGAUGAAUUCAAAUUCUGUUGAGAGAAAUUGGGAGGGAAAAAGAGAUAAGAGAUAGUGAAUUUUGCAGAUACAAAAUUGAGAGGGAAAUUUGGUGAAAAAUGAAUCGUGAAGAAAAAAAGUGAAAUUGACGAGGGAUCUGAUUUAUAGCCGUGAUUGAGGUUAAUCAAGUGGCUUUUUGAUCAUGGAGCUUGAAUUUGGACAUGGUUUUGGACUUCUUGUGGAAUGCUAGAACAUGCUAAUCAUAUAGAAUUGCUUGGAACACCAUGGUUAUGGGAUGGAAAGUGAACUUUGGUCAUGUUGUAGUUUGUAGUAGUUAUUUGAAAUGUUGUAAUGGUCUAUGUAAUUGGAAAUGUAUCUAUGCAAUUCAUGGUUUUUACACAUUGAAUAAAAAAAGUAAUUUUGGAAA